UUGUUUGAUUUUUAUCCCUCUUACAUGUAGAUGGGUUAUAUUGGAAGUUCUUGACAAAGUUUACCUAGGAUCAGUAAACUGGAAGCAAGCAACAAAACCUCCCAUCAAGAUGCCUUUCAGAAAAGUUGAGAAUUGCAACCAAGCUAUACGGAUUGGAAAGGAAUUGAACUUCUCUCUUGUGAAUGUAGCAGGAAACGAUAUUGUAUAGGGAAACAAGAAACUCAUACUAGGAAGAGAACCUGUCAGCUAUGAAUACUGAUCCUUGGUAUUCUGCCUAUCACUAUUCUCAUCCUCCUUUGUUGAAAGACUUGCUGCAAUCGAUGAACUUGACAAGAAGGAAGACUGAAAACGAACACAGGCUACCUAAAGCCAGUGAAUGCACUUUCUAGUCCAUUUUAUACUCUUUUUAACUUGAGCAUUUUCAAGCUUUAGAAAUCGUUGGUUUUGAGUUUCGCCGUAUGAGUCCUGUUGAAAUUGACAUUUCUCUGUUCUGGUAUUAAAUUCCACACCCAACAAAGGUAAGGCUGAGUUAUGGGGAUUUUCUGAGUUAGGUAAAAAAAAUUACAAAAAUGAACAGGAAAUAGCUUAAUGUAACUGAGUUGCUUUAUGUAUUAUUCUUCUGCAUGCUUCAUGUCAG